GUGUGUGUGUGUGUAUGUAUGUAUGUACAUAUGUGUAUGUAUAUUAAAUUAAUAUUAAAUUAAUAUUGGCACCCUUGCAUUCAAAUCUACUGAAAGAUAUCCAUAGGAAAGUGAAGAAAGUGAAGAAAAAGAAGACUUUUGGUUUUCCAAAAGUAGCAGGAACAUCAGCUCUGAAAUUGGGGGAGGCAACACGUUCUUUUAACCAACCUUCUGAUUUUUGGAGUUCUAAACAGGUACAUUGUUCAUCAAAUAGGAAGGGACCGUCAUGGGAUGACCAUGGGAGGAUCUCUCUCGGCACAGCAGUGACACUGACACGUGAUGCUGGCAUGAGUAUAUCAGAAGCGUUCUGCUGCUGAAGUGAAAUCGAAUGUGUCCAGUGUUUCUCUACAGCUUGAGAUGUACACCAGCCUGGUG
ensembl:lncRNA